GACGUAGGGGGCUAGCGUUGUUCGGAAUUACUGGGCGUAAAGCGCACGUAGGCGGCUUUGUAAGUUAGAGGUGAAAGCCUGGAGCUCAACUCCAGAAUUGCCUUUAAGACUGCAUCGCUUGAACACGGGAGAGGUGAGUGGAAUUCCGAGUGUAGAGGUGAAAUUCGUAGAUAUUCGGAAGAACACCAGUGGCGAAGGCGACUUACUGGACACAUAUUGACGCUGAGGUGCGAAAGCGUGGGGAGCAAACAGG
rnacentral:rRNA from 1 species